rnacentral:rRNA from 1 species
GACGAACGCUGGCGGCGUGCUUAACACAUGCAAGUCGAACGGAAAGGCCCUGCUUUUGUUGGGUGCUCGAGUGCCGAACGGGUGAGUAACACGUGAGUAACCUGCCCUUGUCUUUCGGAUAACUUCUGGAAACUGGGGCUCAUACCGCAUAGGAUCUCCUGCUCCAUGUUGUGCGUUGGAAAGUUUCGGCGGUUGGGGAUGGACUCGCGGCUUAUGAGCUUGUUGGUGGGGUAGUGGCUUACCCAGGCUUUGACGGGUAGCCGGCCUGAGAGGGUGACCAGCCACAUUGGGACUGAGAUACGGACCAGACGCCUACGGGAGGCAGCAGUGGGGAAUAUUGCACAAUGGGCGGAAGCCUGAGGCAGCAACGCCGCGUGCGGGAUGACGGCCUUCGGGUUGUAAACCGCUUUCGCCUGUGACGAAGCGUGAGUGACGGUAAUGGGUAAAGAAGCACCGGCUAACUACGUG